UACGUAGGGGGCAAGCGUUGUCCGGAUUUAUUGGGCGUAAAGAGCGUGUAGGCGGCCAGGUAGGUCGGGUGUGAAAACUCUGGGCUCAACCCAGAGCCUGCAUUCGAAACUGACGAGCUAGAGUUCUGGAGGGGAAAGCGGAAUUCCUGGUGUAGCAGUGAAAUGCGUAGAUAUCAGGAGGAACACCGGUGGCGAAGGCGGCUUUCUGGACAGAAACUGACGCUGAUGCGCGAAAGCUAGGGGAGCAAACAGG
rnacentral:rRNA from 1 species